UGCCGGGUGGUGUAAAGGUAGCACAGGGGACUUUGAAUCCCCUGGUCUGGGUUCGAAUCCCAGCCUGGCAUCCA
rnacentral:tRNA from 1 species